CUAGAAACCGCAGCCCUUCUUACUGUAAGAAGGGCUGCGUUUUUGGGCCAACCGCAAUCCUAUUGGGCCUUAAAUUCUUUAUUGUUCUAUUUUUCCUAGCCCCUAAACUCCCUCCAAUUCUUUCAUUCCCUCGCUGCUGAAACACCCCAUCUAUCUCUCUCUCUCUCUCCUCCCAUUUCAUCUCCUCUUCUUCUCCUCAACUCAGGCCUAGAAUCUCACAAAAAAACCCGCUCAACUCAAGCCUAAUGGCCUAAGCUUCGAACUGAUAUCGAUGUUCGAACUCUUUAUCUCUACUCAUUCAUCUUCUUCUUCUUCCCUAAAACCCCAAAUCUUCUCCAUUUUUCGUUUUCCAUUUUCGAUUUUCUUCUCUCGUGUCCAAACAUGUUGAGGACGUGACUCCCAUCCCAACAGACAUUACCCGCAUAAAGGGAGGAAGAAGGGGAAGGAUGUUGUGAAUUAUCUUGGUCAAAUACUGGUCAUAUUGUCUUAUUUCUAUGGCUUGAGUAGACUAGUUUGCUGUUAAAGCCUUUCCUUUUCAUUUUUGAAGUCGAACUUUUAAAGUUUUGAAUUGCCCUUUCAUCAAACAAGUUUCUACUCUCAAGAUUGGAGUGUGGUUGCUAGAAUGCUAGUUCUUGUUUGCUUGCUUACAAGAUUUAUUUUGUAUGUUAGGUGGAAUCUAAAAGAUAACUAAAAAGACCCUAGUUAAAGUUCCUGAUUA